rnacentral:rRNA from 1 species
AGAGUUUGAUCAUGGCUCAGAUUGAACGCUGGCGGCAGGCCUAACACAUGCAAGUCGAGCGGAUGAAGGGAGCUUGCUCCUGGAUUCAGCGGCGGACGGGUGAGUAAUGCCUAGGAAUCUGCCUGGUAGUGGGGGAUAACGUCCGGAAACGGACGCUAAUACCGCAUACGUCCUGAGGGAGAAAGUGGGGGAUCUUCGGACCUCACGCUAUCAGAUGAGCCUAGGUCGGAUUAGCUAGUUGGUGGGGUAAAGGCCUACCAAGGCGACGAUCCGUAACUGGUCUGAGAGGAUGAUCAGUCACACUGGAACUGAGACACGGUCCAGACUCCUACGGGAGGCAGCAGUGGGGAAUAUUGGACAAUGGGCGAAAGCCUGAUCCAGCCAUGCCGCGUGUGUGAAGAAGGUCUUCGGAUUGUAAAGCACUUUAAGUUGGGAGGAAGGGCAGUAAGUUAAUACCUUGCUGUUUUGACGUUACCAACAGAAUAAGCACCGGCUAACUUCGUGCCAGCAGCCGCGGUAAUACGAAGGGUGCAAGCGUUAAUCGGAAUUACUGGGCGUAAAGCGCGCGUAGGUGGUUCAGCAAGUUGGAUGUGAAAUCCCCGGGCUCAACCUGGGAACUGCAUCCAAAACUACUGAGCUAGAGUACGGUAGAGGGUGGUGGAAUUUCCUGUGUAGCGGCGAAAUGCGUAGAUAUAGGAAGGAACACCAGUGGCGAAGGCGACCACCUGGACUGAUACUGACACUGUGGUGCGAAAGCGUGGGGAGCGAACAGGAUUAGAUACCCUGGUAGUCCACGCCGUAAACGAUGUCGACUAGCCGUUGGGAUCCUUGAGAUCUUAGUGGCGCAGCUAACGCGAUAAGUCGACCGCCUGGGGAGUACGGCCGCAAGGUUAAAACUCAAAUGAAUUGACGGGGGCCCGCACAAGCGGUGGAGCAUGUGGUUUAAUUCGAAGCAACGCGAAGAACCUUACCUGGCCUUGACAUGCUGAGAACUUUCCAGAGAUGGAUUGGUGCCUUCGGGAACUCAGACACAGGUGCUGCAUGGCUGUCGUCAGCUCGUGUCGUGAGAUGUUGGGUUAAGUCCCGUAACGAGCGCAACCCUUGUCCUUAGUUACCAGCACCUCGGGUGGGCACUCUAAGGAGACUGCCGGUGACAAACCGGAGGAAGGUGGGGAUGACGUCAAGUCAUCAUGGCCCUUACGGCCAGGGCUACACACGUGCUACAAUGGUCGGUACAAAGGGUUGCCAAGCCGCGAGGUGGAGCUAAUCCCAUAAAACCGAUCGUAGUCCGGAUCGCAGUCUGCAACUCGACUGCGUGAAGUCGGAAUCGCUAGUAAUCGUGAAUCAGAAUGUCACGGUGAAUACGUUCCCGGGCCUUGUACACACCGCCCGUCACACCAUGGGAGUGGGUUGCUCCAGAAGUAGCUAGUCUAACCGCAAGGGGGACGGUUACCACGGAGUGAUUCAUGACUGGGGUGAAGUCGUAACAAGGCA